GGGAUAAGCGUUGGAAACGACGUCUAAUACUGGAUAUGAUCACUGGCCGCAUGGUCUGGUGGUGGAAAGAUUUUUUGGUUGGGGAUGGACUCGCGGCCUAUCAGCUUGUUGGUGAGGUAAUGGCUCACCAAGGCGACGACGGGUAGCCGGCCUGAGAGGGUGACCGGCCACACUGGGACUGAGACACGGCCCAGACUCCUACGGGAGGCAGCAGUGGGGAAUAUUGCACAAUGGGCGAAAGCCUGAUGCAGCAACGCCGCGUGAGGGAUGACGGCCUUCGGGUUGUAAACCUCUUUUAGUAGGGAAGAAGCGAAAGUGACGGUACCUGCAGAAAAAGCACCGGCUAACUACGUGCCAGCAGCCGCGGUAAUACGUAGGGUGCAAGCGUUGUCCGGAAUUAUUGGGCGUAAAGAGCUCGUAGGCGGUUUGUCGCGUCUGCUGUGAAAUCCCGAGGCUCAACCUCGGGCUUGCAGUGGGUACGGGCAGACUAGAGUGCGGUAGGGGAGAUUGGAAUUCCUGGUGUAGCGGUGGAAUGCGCAGAUAUCAGGAGGAACACCGAUGGCGAAGGCAGAUCUCUGGGCCGUAACUGACGCUGAGGAGCGAAAGCAUGGGGAGCGAACAGGAUUAGAUACCCUGGUAGUCCAUGCCGUAAACGUUGGGCGCUAGAUGUAGGGACCUUUCCACGGUUUCUGUGUCGUAGCUAA
rnacentral:rRNA from 1 species